GACGAACGCUGGCGGCGUGCCUAAUACAUGCAAGUAGAACGCACAGUUUAUACCGUAGCUUGCUACACCAUAGACUGUGAGUUGCGAACGGGUGAGUAACGCGUAGGUAACCUGCCUGGUAGCGGGGGAUAACUAUUGGAAACGAUAGCUAAUACCGCAUAAUAUUAAUUAUUGCAUGAUAAUUAAUUGAAAGGUGCAAUUGCACCACUACCAGAUGGACCUGCGUUGUAUUAGCUAGUAGGUGAGGUAACGGCUCACCUAGGCGACGAUACAUAGCCGACCUGAGAGGGUGAUCGGCCACACUGGGACUGAGACACGGCCCAGACUCCUACGGGAGGCAGCAGUAGGGAAUCUUCGGCAAUGGACGAAAGUCUGACCGAGCAACGCCGCGUGAGUGAAGAAGGGUGUCGGAUCGUAAAGCUCUGUUGUAAGAGAAGAAAGGGUGUGAGAGUGGAAAGUUCACACUGUGACGGUAUCUUACCAGAAAGGGACGGCUAACUACGUG
rnacentral:rRNA from 1 species